rnacentral:lncRNA from 1 species
CUUAAGCUAUAAAUCUCACUCACGUCUUAGUUUGAAUUCUUUUAGAAUAAGAUUUGGUUGAGUCAGGAUUUGUUCUUUGAAGGACUUGGGUAAAGGCUUUGAGUGAGAAAAAGCAAUAGUGGUGAGACUGAUAGAGGGAAAAAGCCAAUUUGAAUGAUACACGAGGGAAUACACGUGAGGCAAAUAUUAUUUAGAUUUAGGAUGUUUGACAAAGAUGACUCCACUUCAAGUAGAAACAACAAUCAAGUCAACAUGUCGAAAGAGUUGAUACGACGAUUUGAAAGGUUGUUUGAAGAUAUGAGGGAUAGGUUGGAUAGACAAGAGAAUGGAAAGGUAAGACCUAUUGCUUGCCAACUUACGUAAGAGAGUUCCCAAUACGAGGCGGCAAGAUAGGAGGGAGCCUAGGGUGGAAAAUCGUGAUGAAAAUGAAGUGGGUAGUGAUAUUAAUGAGGGGACAUUAGUGGAUGCCAAGAUAAGAAGAAUGAGGGAUAGAGGUGCUAGGCAUGAAAGAAGGGGAAGAUAUCUUGUUGGGGAUGGAGUGGACAAAAAUGUGGGUAACAUCAAAAUGACAAUUCCUUCAUUCAAAGGAAUGAGUGAUCCGGAAGCAUACUUGGAGUGAGAG